AAGAAAGAAAGAAAGAAAGAAAAAGCAUUUAUUUAAAAAAUUGUGCCAUACACCACAAUGCCUAACUAAGCACUAUUGUUGUGUCUGAUGCUUCAACCACCUGCAGGCUGAUUAUGUAUCUCGACGUAUCACUUCUAACUGUGUAACGCAAAGCUAAAUUGAACACUAGAGUGUUUUUGCAAUUCCGAUUAUGUAAGACAAAAGACAGCCACAAUGCCUAGUGAUAUCGUUCUAGGCGCAAAAUUUUAUCGACAUUAUGCGACUAAAUAAAAUACACCCUUUCCCGGUACUACUUGCUACGGGUGCGGCAUACUUUUGCACAUAUACGCAUUAUACUUGAUUUUGCUGUUUGUCUGUGGUGAAGUGAAGUGCCAUAGUUUCUUUGUUGGUAAACAAAACAAAGCCGUAUUAAAAUAUUAAUAAAAAAAUUGGUUUCGUUGGAUCAAAGUACUUGCUACUGCUAGUUUUUUGUUUUCAAUAGAAGUAAUUAAUUAAUCAUUUUAUCGUAUACAUUUUUAUUAGUGUUAAUAGUUAAUUUAUCAAAGUAAACGGCCACUUUUACAUAAAACAUUAUCUACACGAAAGUUCUUCAAAGUUUUAUCGUCUGCCUAUGAUUAAUUUAAUGGUCGUUGUGAUAAUAUGUAAAGUAUAUUGUAUAGUGUUUUGUUUAUUAAAGUUCAUCGCUUGCAACUAAAGAUGUCCGGGAAACUCAAUGAUCGCCUUGGCUUGGAUCAAACUUGGCGAUGGGUUGUUUUGGAGGGCCUUUGGAAAGUCAGGCUACUAAAUAAACCUUCCGUGUUCGCGUCUGCCAGUGGCGUUGUAUCAACAUGAAGAUGUGGGCUCUAAACUUUGAGUGCCAGGGACUGACUAUGGAAGUCUCCAUGUCGCUGGUCACCAUUGAGGUGCAAAACACCUUGAAAAAAUUGGUGAUUCUGAAUCCUUCAUCUCUAUGAACGAUUCAUGAAGAAAGAAUUAAACAAACAUUUAAUGAACAGAUUUUUUAUAAGAUUAUUAUCAAUAAUGACAUUGCAUAUGAGAGAAAAUUGUCAAAUAUAAUUUCAUUUUAAUUUAAUAUAGUUAAUUAUGACAUCACUGUAUAUAAAGAAUAUGAUUAUUAUCAUUUGGUUAAUUUCAGUAUUACAUAGUAUUAGAUAAAAAUUUUAUUGUAAAAUUGCACAUCAAAAUAUGUUUUAUUAUCUAUUAUUAGGAGGAAAUAUUAUUUAACUAUUAUUAUUAUCCCUAAUAGCCCAGUGAAUGUGACCUCUGCCUCCAAUUCCGGAGGGUGUGAGGUUGAACCCGUUCCGGGGCACGCACCUCCAACUUUUCAGUUGUGUGCAUUUUAAGAAACUAAAUAUCACGUGUCUCAAACAGUGAAGGAAAACAUCGUGAGGAAACCUGCAUACCAGAGAAUUCUCUUAAUUCUCUGCAUAUGUGAUGUCUACCAAUGUAAUCCAAAUAUGCUGGCCCAUAUUCGGCUCCUGUCAGAAUGAGAGGGGUUAGGCAUUGGCCUUCCCUUACCUUAUCAGCCGAUAGACGUCCACUCCUGUACAUAGGCCUCUUACAUAGACCUCCAAGCACAACGACCUUGAGCCGCGAACAUCCAACCAACCGACCAACCACGCUUUCCAGUGCGGGGUCUCCCGAGUGCGGGUAGGCACUAACCCCUCUUACUGGGGGAGACUCGAGCUCAGCAGUGAGCCGAAUAUGUGUUUAUAAUGAUGAUGAUGAUGAUGAUGAUUAUUUAACACUUUCAUUACCGCUACGAUUUUCACGAUGUUUUCUCGGGAGCCGCCUACAUUUUACGUUGGACUCGCUAGGUGAGUCGCCGGCGCUGCGAUACGAAUCAUUCGACUCGCCACGCGAGUUCAGUGGCAUUGCGUUAGGGUAAAAACUAUGUUCUGUUAUUUUUGUGGCCGUGACAGUGUACGUUACGUGUUUAAAGCAAUUAACUAGUAUAUGGUGUAAUUUAACAAAAAGAAAAUGGCAAGAAACACUAUAAAUAAACGAAAAGGUAAGUUUGUUUCGUAAUUUAUGCAGUGGCUCUCAAUCUUACAAAUACUGAUUAUUGUUGAUAUCUUAUAUUGUUUUUAUAAACAGAUUUUCUUAUUAUAUGUAUAGAUGUUUUGAGUAAAGUUACAUUUUAAUUACUUUCGAAAUUUAUUAAAUAGUGUCUGGUAUAUUUUUAGUGCUACAUGUGCCAGAAACGGAGGCUUACGACGAUGAUUUUAUAUAUUUCAUUUAUAAAAGUUUGAGAAUCUAUGUUAGUGAACUCGCCUAGCGAGUUCAAGGCAUUGCAGAAUAGUUUAUUUUCUUUCGAUUAUAAACUGGGUCUGCACACCCGGCCCACCACGUUAUUCAUUAGAUUAGUGUAUAUUUAGUCUUCAGUAUUAUUUUAAGCAGAAAAUACACAUGCAUUUUGAAAAAAAAUUGCAAAAACAUUGAACUCGCGAGGCGAGUCUACGGCGCUGGAAUAAAAUUUACGUGGACUCUCCGGGCGAGUCGGUGGCACUGAACGUGUUAAGUAAUUGUAAAAGAAAAAAUUGAAUACUACAUUAGUUGUUUAUCUAUACAAUUCAAUAAUUUUAAGAACAAAACAUGUACCUACCACAUUGUAGGAAAUAAAUAAAUAAUGAUUUGAUUAAAAACAAUGUUGUUUAAUGUUAAUCAGUUAGGGCCAGGUAGUUCUAUAUUUGUGUAACAUCUAUUACUUAAAAAUAAAAAAUAUAUUUACUUGUGUUGGUAUUUUUUAUUCAGACUUGAUAUAUUGUUGUUGACAAAUUUUGUUAUAAUAUAUAUCUUUCAUUCUUUAGUUUAAUUUAAUCAAGAAACGACCCUACUUACACAUAUAGGUACCCCCUCUAACAAAAAUAGACUGAAGUAUAGGUAAAUAUUUAACAAAAAUGUAAAUUAAAAAUUAAUUAUAGAUUAAUUAAAAACAUGACUACAAUUUGAAUUAUCAACUUUAAUAAUUUGCUUCAAAAUAAAAACACAUACGCGUGGCGCAGUAAGUAGUGCUCCUGCAUCCACGGUCAUGGGUUUGAUUCCCACACCUGGAAAAUAUUUGUGUGAAGAGCAUGGGUUUUUUCCAGUGUGUGUGUAUUUAUACAUUAUAUAAGUAUUUAUAGGUAGUAUAUAAAUGUAAAUGAAUAUUAUAAUAUCAACUAUCUUAGUACCCACAACACAAGCUACUCUGUAUGCCUACUUUGGGGCUAGAUAGUGCUUUGUAUGGUUUAAGUAUAAAUAAUUAUACAGAAGGCUUGGUCACGAAAAAAUAUAUCCAGUCCUUUGUCUGCAUAGCUUGAGGGUUCUAGCAACUUGUUAUCAUGGUUUUGAGUGAGGAAUCCUUGGACAAUACUGCCAUCACAAGGAUUACUGUUUUCUGUAUCCAGCCCUUGAUCUAACAGCCAAGUGAAAGCUUCUUUAGGUGUUGGUUGAAACAUUGUUAAGCUCUUCACUUCUUCAAAAUUAUUAGUGAUUCUCCUAGAAACAUAAAUCAUAAUGUAGGUAUACAUGGUACUGCCCAACAAGUUCUUAUAAAGUAGGUAUAUAAUAUACUGACCUGUGAUAAGUCUCCUCCUUCGGCUGCAUAGCUUGAGGGUUUAGGAAACCAGAGUUCAUGGUUUUGGAGUGAGGAAACAUUUUACAAUAUGCACCCAACUACAAGGCUCCACCGUAUUUCUGACACAGCAAUGUUGUGCAUAUCUUCAUGGGAUCUAGGAGCAGCUCCCAAGAUGGGGGUCAUCAUGCAAACAUUGGUCACCUGAAAGAAUUGAAGUGUGUAUUGCAAUGUAUUAUGUAUUUUGCCUACAUAAAAGUAACAGUUAUAUAUAAUUUAUAGUAUAUAAUUUAUAUUUGGA